UUUCCGGUUGAUCCUGCCGCCGGCCACCGCUAUCAAGUUCCGACUAAGCCAUGCGAGUCAAGGUAUCGUAAGAUGCCGGCAAACUGCUCAGUAACACGUGGAUAAUCUAACCUUGAGUAAGGGAUAACCUCGGGAAACUGAGGAUAAUACCUUAUAAUUGCUUAAAACUGGAAUGUUUAAGCAAUAAAAGUUCCGACGCUCAAGGAUGAGUCUGCGACCUAUCAGGUAGUAGGUGGUGUAAUGGACCACCUAGCCUCAGACGGGUACGGGCCCUGGGAGGGGUAGCCCGGAGAUGGACUCUGAGACAUCAGUCCAGGCCCUACGGGGCGCAGCAGGCGCGAACACUGUGCAAUGCGCGAAAGCGCGACACGGGGAGCUUGAGUGUCUUGGCAUAGCCAAGACUUUUCUCAUUCCUAAAAAGCAUGAGGAAUAAGUGCUGGGUAAGACGGGUGCCAGCCGCCGCGGUAACACCCGCAGCACAAGUGGUGGUCACUUUUAUUGAGCCUAAAGCGUUCGUAGCCGGUUUUGUAAAUCUUUAGAUAAAGCCUGAAGCUUAACUCCAGAAAGUCUGAAGAGACUGCAAGACUUGAGAUCGGGUGAGGUUAAACGUACUUUCAGGGUAGGGGUAAAAUCCUGUAAUCCCGGAAGGACGACCAGUGGCGAAAGCGUUUAACUAGAACGAAUCUGACGGUAAGGAACGAAGGCUAGGGUAGCAAACCGGAUUAGAUACCCGGGUAGUCCUAGCUGUAAACACUGCCCAUUUGAUGUUGCUUUUCCGUUGAGGGAAGGCAGUGUCGGAGCGAAGGUGUUAAAUGGGCCGCUUGGGAAGUAUGGUCGCAAGACUGAAGCUUAAAGGAAUUGGCGGGGGAGCACCGCAACGGGAGGAAUGUGCGGUUUAAUUGGAUUCAACGCCGGA
rnacentral:rRNA from 1 species